CGCGUAGGCGGGCGGUCAAGUCUGUGGUGAAAUCCUUCGGCUCAACCGGAGAAUAGCUGGAGAUACUGGCCGUCUCGAGGGGGGUAGGGGCAUGUGGAACUUCCGGUGGAGCGGUGAAAUGCGUAGAUAUCGGAAGGAACGCCGGUGGCGAAAGCGACGUGCUGGACCCUUUCUGACGCUGAGGCGCGAAAGCCAGGGGAGCAAACGGGAUUAGAUACCCCGGUAGUCCUGGCCCUAAACGAUGGGUACUAGAUUGUGGGCUAACAUGGGCUCACAGUCGAAGCUAAAGUGUUAAGUACCCCGCCUGGGGAGUAUGGUCGCAAGGCUGAA
rnacentral:rRNA from 1 species